CCUCCACGCAUCCAGAUCUUCCUUCUUCCCUUCCUGUGUUGUGUUCUGUACCAAGCCUGGAGCUAGGGCUAAGCAAAAUCCAGGCGAGCUCUCUCUCUCUCUCUGUGCUGGUCCCUCGUUACACCAGAUGCGCCCUCCCCCUUCCAACUUCUACCUCUCUCUCUCCGGCUUCCGGCGUUGACGCAUCAGUGCCCAGAAUCCAACUCAUGUGGUCCACCGGCGGCUCGCCACGAUUGCGUCCACCUAGCGACGCGGCGCUGUAGCUCCGGGGAUAUCGAUGAUUGCGGCUGAUUAGGAGCCAACCAUCCUCUUUUUACUGAUAAAGGAUCCAUGGCGACUGGAAAAAUAGACGAGGGGAAAUAUGUUUGUACAAUCUAUAUGUCAAGCACAAGGUUUGACUCCCUGUUUUGAUCGUUUAUUAGUAAAAAUUAUUAAGUAGAAAGUGCACUUUGCAGUGUCCAACUUAACUUGCUGAUGCAUUGCAAGUUCAUCUUCGUGAUUUUAUUAUGUAGUUCAUCAUUUCCCUGAAACUAGUGUUUUCAGUUCGUAUAUACAAUGUAGUAACCCAUCAGUGGCAGAAUGUCGGCAUUCCUUAUAAUCCGUUUGCACAAUCUCAUAAAUUCUGAGGUCCCUGGAAUCUGCAGUAAGAAGGGAUACAAAAAUUAUCCUCAGUUGCAACUAUAAGACUGGAAAAUAGACAGUUGGUACUUUUAUAUGAAGAUAUCAGUGCUCCAGCAGGCCUCGGCUCAUGUUUAUAAAUGUUUCCACGUGAUAGUUAGUACUUUUAUAUGAAGAAACCAGUGCUACAGCAGCCAUUUCCUCGAGCUUAGUGCUAGCAGGCAGAACACAGGUACUGCCAGCCUGCUCAUUUUUUUUCAGUUUCGGCGUUCAGUGUUUACUCAGUUUAGGGCCAUCAGUUACUAAAAUCUAGUUUAAUCAUAUUGUUCCUAUCAUCGAGGCCUGCAACUCUACACUAACAUUUACACCGGUGUGUUUGUCGCAGAUGGAUCAAUUGCUUCAUUAGAUAAAA